rnacentral:tRNA from 1 species
GGGUCGGUAGCUCAGCUGGUAGAGCAGUGGCCUCUUAAGCCAACGGUCCCGGGUUCGAUCCCCGGCCGACCCACCA